rnacentral:lncRNA from 1 species
CUCUUGACCCACUAGAAUAAAAGCCUUCCUUUACUCAACCAAAUGAUUUGGACCAAUUGACCAUUUGCAAGAAUUCACUUAAUGUUUUAUGCUUAAUGAAUGUGAGAGUUGGUUGAUUUGAAUGUGUGGAUGUUUGAUGAUGAGUAUAAGGGCAAAAGGAGUUGAGAUAGGCCUAGAGAAGCUAGAGUGUAAUAAGAGAGUGUGCUCAGGUUGGAUUAGAUGUUGAGUUGAGUGCUAGUUGUGUUUCUUUUGGCUAUGAGCUCCCCACCUUAAAACCUCUCUCCCUAUGAGUGCUAGAAAGUUCACUUGUGGACAAGUAAAAGAACAAGUUUGGGGGAGUUGAUAUCUUGCAUAUUUCCAUUGUCUUAUCCAUUCAUCCAUGUGCAUUUUGAUCAUAUAGACUAGGAUUUAGCCAUGUUUAGGUUGCAUUUUGCAUACAUGAGUCUUUAUCAAGUGUUGGAGUACCACAUGGAGUUCUUGGAGGCA